rnacentral:rRNA from 1 species
GACGAACGCUGGCGGCGUGCUUAACACAUGCAAGUCGAACGGUGAUCCAUCAGCUUGCUGGUGGUGAUCAGUGGCGAACGGGUGAGUAACACGUGAGUAACCUGCCCCUGACUCUGGAAUAACCCCGGGAAACCGGGGCUAAUACCGGAUAUGACAUCAUCCCGCAUGGGUGGGGUUUGGAAAGUUUUUUCGGUUGGGGAGCGGCUGGCGGCCUAUCAGCUUGUUGGUGAGGUAGUGGCUCACCAAGGCGACGACGGGUAGCCGGCCUGAGAGGGCGACCGGCCACACUGGGACUGAGACACGGCCCAGACUCCUACGGGAGGCAGCAGUGGGGAAUAUUGCACAAUGGGCGGAAGCCUGAUGCAGCGACGCCGCGUGAGGGAUGACGGCCUUCGGGUUGUAAACCUCUUUCAGCUCUGAAGAAGCGAAAGUGACGGUAGGAGCAGAAGAAGCACCGGCUAACUACGUGCCAGCAGCCGCGGUAAAAC